rnacentral:rRNA from 1 species
UACAGAGGAGGCAAGCGUUAUCCGGAAUUAUUGGGCGUAAAGCGUCCGUAGGUGGUUUGAUAAGUCUGGUGUUAAAGACCAGAGCUCAACCCUGGAUCGGCCGUGGAAACUAUAAGGCUUGAGUACGUUAGGGGUUGAGGGAAUUCCUGGUGUAGCGGUGAAAUGCGUAGAGAUCGGGAAGAACACCAGUGGCGAAAGCGCGCAGCUGGGCCGUUACUGACACUGAGGGACGAAAGCUAGGGGAGCGAAUGGG